GCUAACGUCCGUCGUGAAGAGGGAAACAACCCAGACCGCCAGCUAAGGUCCCAAAGUCAUGGUUAAGUGGGAAACGAUGUGGGAAGGCCCAGACAGCCAGGAUGUUGGCUUAGAAGCAGCCAUCAUUAAAGAAAGCGUAAUAGCUCACUGGUCGAGUCGGCCUGCGCGGAAGAUGUAACGGGGCUAAACCAUGCACCGAAGCUGCGGCAGCGACGCUGAUGCGUUGUUGGGUAGGGGAGCGUUCUGUAAGCC
rnacentral:rRNA from 1 species